UGGAUGCACCGCUCCAUGCCUCUGAGA
rnacentral:piRNA from 1 species